GAUGAACGCUAGCGGGAGGCUUAAUACAUGCAAGUCGAGCGGUAGAGCGAUUUCGGUUGCUCGAGAGCGGCGCACGGGUGAGUAACGCGUACGCAACUUACCUCCAAGCGGGGCAUAGCCCCGGGAAACUGGGAUUAAUACCCCAUAGUUUGCACUGGCUGCAUGGUCAGUGCAAUAAAGUUGAGGCGCUUGGAGAUAGGCGUGCGUCUGAUUAGGUAGUUGGUAGGGUAACGGCCUACCAAGGCGACGAUCAGUAGGGGGCCUGAGAGGGUUAUCCCCCACACUGGUACUGAGACACGGACCAGACUCCUACGGGAGGCAGCAGUGAGGAAUAUUGGUCAAUGGAGGCAACUCUGAACCAGCCAUGCCGCGUGUAGGAAGAAUGCCCUAUGGGUUGUAAACUACUUUUAUUGGGGAAGAAACCCUUCUACGUGUAGAAGGCUGACGGUACCCAAGGAAUAAGGACCGGCUAACUCCGUG
rnacentral:rRNA from 1 species